AGUGACGAAGAUCCGAUUCCGCCUGUGCUUGCACAAAGGCGGGAGGCGAAUCUUACGACACGCCCGGACAUGAGCAUGAAAGUGGAGCGUAAGCUACACGAUAUGCGAAUGGACGUAGAAUUGCGGGAGUGCACCGCACGGAGCAAUUCGUGU
rnacentral:sRNA from 1 species